AAAGUAAAUAAAAUUUUGGCCUUUAAUAUGUUGUCUGUUUAUUACACUUAGCCAAGAUUCUAGCACAGCCGAAUUCCUGUUUUUCAAUUCAAGUCUAGCUGGUAAAAAAUGAAAAAGGCAAGAUUGACUCAAGGAUCAAUAACAUUAAUUAGGCCAUUGAACACGGAACACAUAUGCAUUAUCUUUCAACCUACGUUGUACUACACCUUCCACAGUAUUGUUCAAAAAUAUAAAAGCCAUUAAAUCCUCAUGUCUUAUCCCUCUUCUUCUUUAUCUUAACAUUAGAAGUGUAAAAAUUCAUCUAUGGCACAGAUUUAAUUAGUUCAUUUGCAACUGGGUUUCCAGAAAAUAAUUUGAAAACCCUAAAAAUGAAAAUACUUGUUAAAAUCAAAUAGUUCAUCACCUAUAGCGAGUUUAAAAUAAAACGAAUGGCAUAUAUUUCAAAACCACCUCAAUUUUCCUUCCAUUUCUUCAACAUUUUCCCAGAAACCAAAGAGGGCAAAAGCAAAUAAAUCCUAAUUA
rnacentral:misc_RNA from 1 species